UACGUAGGGUGCGAGCGUUGUCCGGAAUUAUUGGGCGUAAAGAGCUUGUAGGCGGCUUGUCGCGUCUGCUGUGAAAAUCCGAGGCUCAACCUCGGACUUGCAGUGGGUACGGGCAGGCUAGAGUGUGGUAGGGGAGACUGGAAUUCCUGGUGUAGCGGUGAAAUGCGCAGAUAUCAGGAGGAACACCGAUGGCGAAGGCAGGUCUCUGGGCCACUACUGACGCUGAGACGCGAAAGCGUGGGGAGCGAACAGG
rnacentral:rRNA from 1 species